rnacentral:rRNA from 1 species
AGAUUAAGUUAUUAAGGGCGCACGGUGGAUGCCUUGGCACUAGAAGCCAAUGAAGGACGUUACUAACGA